AGAAUCAACGCUGGCGGCGUGCCUAACACAUGCAAGUCGAACGAGAAAGUGGAGCAAUCCAUGAGUAAAGUGGCGCACGGGUGAGUAACACGUGACUAACCUACCCUUGAGUGGGGGAUAACCUAGAGAAAUCUGGGCUAAUACCGCAUAAUACCUUCGGGUCAAAGGAGCAAUUCGCUUAAGGAGGGGGUCGCGGCCGAUUAGUUAGUUGGCGGGGUAAUGGCCCACCAAGACUAUGAUCGGUAUCCGGCCUGAGAGGGCGCACGGACACACUGGAACUGAAACACGGUCCAGACUCCUACGGGAGGCAGCAGUGGGAAUUUUGCGCAAUGGGGGAAACCCUGACGCAGCAACGCCGCGUGGAGGAUGAAGUCCCUUGGGACCGUAAACUCCUUUCGAUCGGGACGAUUAUGACGGUACCGGAAGAAGAAGCCCCGGCUAACUUCGCGCCAGCAGCCGC
rnacentral:rRNA from 1 species